UAUUAUGACUGUUAUUACUUUACAAGUUUUAGAAACAUUAUUAUGGUCUGCACCUACUCCCCCCUGACUGCCCUCAUGUGGUCACGUCUGUCCUGUAACCGUUUGAAGGGGAGCGAAGAAGCAGGCUUGGACUGGAUUCUGCUGAGAUAAAGGCGCAAUUAAAAGGAAGACACACGGAAAUCAUGGAUGGACUAGAUGAUGUUACAGUAUCAGUUCUAAAUGCUGCCAACAUAGAUGAGGUUUUAAUCCACACCCUCAGUCGUGAUGAUUUAAGAGAUCUUUUUCCUGGUCCAGAAAACUUUCUCAGGAGGAAACAGUUGUGGGCUCAUCUUCACAAAGAGG